GAACUCCACUUUUACAUACUCAUUUUGAAAAAAAACUCGUUAGGUUGACAGAUAAUAAAAGAAAAAAAGAUGCAAUUGUCAACAUGCUGAAGACAUUGUAAGUGCCUAAACAGUUACAAAUAUACCAAAGCCAAGCAAAAUCCUUGUUAAGCACGUACAAGAUAUCCAAUGGUGAGACAAAUCAAUGCGACCAUGCAAAGGAAUAACGGGGGAAAACCAACUUGAACUCUUUUUCCAACACCCUUUGUCUUUAACAAUGCCAGUUCUUGCUUCAAAAUUUCCAUGUCUUUGAUGGUACUUCGCUUCUGUUCUUUUAACUUUGCAAUUAUGCAUUCAGCCUCAAUUAGCUGAGAACCCAGUGAAUUUAUCUUAGACUUUAGCUCCUCAACAUCUUUGGAUAGUGACAAUUUUGUCUCCAUGUUCAGAUGUCUUGAUUUAACAACCUCAACCUCAUUGGCAUUAGACUCCCUGUUCUUAGGCAAAUUCAACUGGAUGUCUUCCGCAGUCUUAGCCAAUCUUGGCUCCUCUUCUUCUGCGUCAAAAUCUGCACCCUUGUUGUUCUCAACCACCUGACAUAUUGUUUCAUCAAUCUCACCAAUACUGGACUUGGUAUUUUUUGUUAAGUUCAGAUCUUUGACAUCUGCAAUGUUAACCAAUCUUGGUUCCUCUGUUUCUUCCUCAAAUUUUAUAUCCUU
rnacentral:misc_RNA from 1 species